rnacentral:rRNA from 1 species
AAGUGAUUAAAGUGGCGCACGGGUGAGUAACGCGUAGACAAUCUGCCCUUCAGUCCGGGACAACUUUCCGAAAGGGGAGCUAAUACCGGAUAACAAUGUUUAACAUAAGUUUAAUAUUUGAAAGCUCCGGCGCUGAUGGAUGAGUCUGCGUCCCAUUAGCUUGUUGGUGCGGUAGUGGCGCACCAAGGCUACGAUGGGUAGCGGGUUUGAGAGGACGAUCCGCCACACUGGAACUGAGACACGGUCCAGACUCCUACGGGAGGCAGCAGUGGGGAAUAUUGCACAAUGGAGGAAACUCUGAUGCAGCAAUGUCGCGUGAGUGAAGAAGGCCCUUGGGUCGUAAAGCUCUUUUAUGGGGGAAGAUAAUGACGGUACCCCAGGAAUAAGCACCGGCUAACUACGUGCCAGCAGCCGCGGUAAUACGUAGGGUGCGAGCGUUGUUCGGAAUUACUGGGCGUAAAGGGCGCGCAGGCGGAGGUGUAAGUCGGAGGUGAAAGCCCGGGGCUCAACCCCGGAGGGUCUUUCGAAACUGCAUCUCUAGAGAGGGUCAGGGGCCGGCAGAAUUCCUGGUGUAGAGGUGAAAUUCGUAGAUAUCAGGAGGAAUACCGGUGGCGAAAGCGGCCGGCUGGGGCCACUCUGACGCUGAGGCG